CCGUGCUAAGCGGGGAGGUAGCGGUGCCCUGUACUCGCAAUCCGCUCUAGCAGGCCGAAUUCCUUCUUGAGGUUAGCUCAUCUUAGGGCCUGCCUUAAGUAAGUGGUGUUGACGUUUGGGUCCUACGCAAUGGGAAUCUGUGAACCCUGUCAGGUCCGGAAGGAAGCAGCAGUAAGCAGAACCUCUCAUGUGCCAUGGGGUCGCCUGAACCGAGCUAACUGCUUAAGUAACGCCUGGGGUGGCUAAUCGACAGAAGGUGCACGG
rnacentral:SRP_RNA from 1 species